rnacentral:lncRNA from 1 species
CCAAUAUUUUUUUCUUCCUCCUAAUUUUUUCUUUCAUUUUCACUGUAAUUAAUCUUUUUUUUUUGACAAAUCAUUUUUUGCUCUUUUUUUUUGGAGUUAUCUUUUCCUUAUUUAUUUGUUUAUUUAUAUUUUUCUUUCAAUUUUUAUCCCGUGCUCCCAAUACUAAGUAUGUGUUAUUAUCAUGAAUAUUAUUCAUAAUAGGCAAAAUAAUCUUUUGGACCCCUGUACUAUGUC